rnacentral:rRNA from 1 species
GAUGAACGCUGGCGGCGUGCCUAAUACAUGCAAGUCGAGCGAACGGACGAGAAGCUUGCUUCUCUGAUGUUAGCGGCGGACGGGUGAGUAACACGUGGAUAACCUACCUAUAAGACUGGGAUAACUUCGGGAAACCGGAGCUAAUACCGGAUAAUAUUUUGAACCGCAUGGUUCAAAAGUGAAAGACGGUCUUGCUGUCACUUAUAGAUGGAUCCGCGCUGCAUUAGCUAGUUGGUAAGGUAACGGCUUACCAUGGCAACGAUGCAUAGCCGACCUGAGAGGGUGAUCGGCCACACUGGAACUGAGACACGGUCCAGACUCCUACGGGAGGCAGCAGUAGGGAAUCUUCCGCAAUGGGCGAAAGCCUGACGGAGCAACGCCGCGUGAGUGAUGAAGGUCUUCGGAUCGUAAAACUCUGUUAUUAGGGAAGAACAUAUGUGUAAGUAACUGUGCACAUCUUGACGGUACCUAAUCAGAAAGCCACGGCUAACUACGUG